AACGAACGCUGGCGGCAGGCCUAACACAUGCAAGUCGAGCGAAGUCGUCGGACUUAGCGGCGGACGGGUGAGUAACGCGUGGGAACGUGCCCUGGGGUGCGGAACAACCGCUGGAAACGGCGGCUAAUACCGCAUGAUCCUCCCAAGUAGCGAUACGGGGGAGGCAAAGAUUUAUCGCCCUGGGAUCGGCCCGCGUCGGAUUAGGUAGUUGGUGGGGUAACGGCCUACCAAGCCGAUGAUCCGUAGCUGGUUUGAGAGGAUGAUCAGCCACACUGGGACUGAGACACGGCCCAGACUCCUACGGGAGGCAGCAGUGGGGAAUCUUGGACAAUGGGGGCAACCCUGAUCCAGCCAUGCCGCGUGAGCGAUGAAGGCCUUAGGGUUGUAAAGCUCUUUCACCGGUGAAGAUAAUGACGGUAGCCGGAGAAGAAGCCCCGGCUAACUCCGUGCCAGCAGCCGCCGUAACAC
rnacentral:rRNA from 1 species